rnacentral:rRNA from 1 species
CCUACGGGAGGCAGCAGUGGGGAAUAUUGGACAAUGGGCGAAAGCCUGAUCCAGCCAUGCCGCGUGUGUGAAGAAGGUCUUCGGAUUGUAAAGCACUUUAAGUUGGGAGGAAGGGCAGUAAGCGAAUACCUUGCUGUUUUGACGUUACCGACAGAAUAAGCACCGGCUAACUCUGUGCCAGCAGCCGCGGUAAUACAGAGGGUGCAAGCGUUAAUCGGAAUUACUGGGCGUAAAGCGCGCGUAGGUGGUUUGUUAAGUUGAAUGUGAAAUCCCCGGGCUCAACCUGGGAACUGCAUCCAAAACUGGCAAGCUAGAGUAGGGCAGAGGGUGGUGGAAUUUCCUGUGUAGCGGUGAAAUGCGUAGAUAUAGGAAGGAACACCAGUGGCGAAGGCGACCACCUGGGCUCAUACUGACACUGAGGUGCGAAAGCGUAGGGGAGCAAACAGGAUUAGAUACCCUGGUAGUCCACGCCGUAAACGAUGUCAACUAGCCGUUGGAAGCCUUGAGCUUUUAGUGGCGCAGCUAACGCAUUAAGUUGACCGCCUGGGGAUACGGCCGCAAGGUUAAAACUCGAAAAUGAAAUUGACCGGNNGAGAGAGACGACGACGACGACGAGGGAGGAGG